UGCUGCACCCCUCGACGGCCGCUGGCCGCGAGUCCCCAGGAGCUGAGCUCCUGUGACGGCCACGACGGGCUGCGGAGGCAGGACUCCAGCCGCAAGCCCCGCGCCUUCAGCAAGCAGCCCAGCACGGGGGACUACUACCGGCAGCUGGGCCGCUGCCCCGGCGAGACGCUGGCCGCACGCCCGGGCAUGGCGCACAGCGAGGAGGCGGCGCUGCUUCCUGGGAACCAUGUUCCUAACGGCUGCGCCGCGGACCCCAAGGCGUCCAGGGAG
rnacentral:lncRNA from 10 species